rnacentral:rRNA from 1 species
AGUUGCUAACAGGAGAGCUGAGCACUCUGGCGAGACUGCCGCCGACAAGGCGGAGGAAGGUGGGGAUGACGUCAAGUCAUCAUGGCCUUUAUGCCCAGGGCUACACACGUGCUACAAUGGCCGGCACAGACGGCAGCUUAGUGGCGACACUUGGCAAAUCCUCUAAAGCCGGUCCCAGUUCGGAUUGUAGUCUGCAACUCGACUACAUGAAGCCGGAAUCGCUAGUAAUCGCAGAUCAGCCAAGCUGCGGUGAAUACGUUCCCGGGCCUU